GACGUAGGGGGCAAGCGUUGUCCGGAAUUACUGGGCGUAAAGGGCGUGUAGGCGGUGCGGUACGUAGCGGUUUUAAGCCUCCGGCUCACCCGGAGGAGGGCGGCUAAACGGCAGCACUGGAGGGCAGGAGAGGUGCGCGGAAUUCCUGGUGGAGCGGUGAAAUGCGUAGAGAUCAGGAAGAACACCAGUGGCGAAGGCGGCGCACUGGCCUGGCCCUGACGCUGAGGCGCGACAGCGUGGGGAGCAAACGGGAUUAGAUACCCCGGUAGUCCACGCCGUAAACGAUGGAUACUAGGUGUCGCGGGGGUCCACCUCGCGGUGCCGGAGCUAACGCACUAAGUAUCCCGCCUGGGGAGUACGGCCGCAAGGUUGAAACUCAAAGGAAUUGACGGGGGCCCGCACAAGCAGUGGAGCAUGUGGUUUAAUUCGACGCAACGCGCAGAACCUUACCAGGACUAGACGGGAUCGUGAGCGCCGCGAAAGCGGCGGGCCCUUCGGGGAGCGAUCGUCAGGUGCUGCAUGGUUGUCGUCAGCUCGUGUCGUGAGAUGUUGGGUUAAGUCCCGCAACGAGCGCAACCCUUGUCGCGUGUUGCCAGCGGUUCGGCCGGGCACUCACACGAGACUGCCGGUGACAAACCGGAGGAAGGUGGGGAUGACGUCAAAUCCGCAUGGCCUUGAUGUCCUGGGCUACACACGUGCUACAAUGGUCCCGACAACGGGCCGCGACGGCGCGAGCCUGAGCGAAUCCUUCAAACGGGACCUCAGUUCGGAUUGCAGGCUGCAACCCGCCUGCAUGAAGUCGGAAUUGCUAGUAAUCGCCCAUCAGCAUGGGGCGGUGAAUUCGUUCCCGGGCCU
rnacentral:rRNA from 1 species